rnacentral:rRNA from 1 species
GAUUAAGUUAUUAAGGGCGCACGGUGGAUGCCUUGGCACUAGAAGCCGAUGAAGGACGUUACUAACGACGAUAUGCUUUGGGGA